rnacentral:rRNA from 1 species
UACGUAGGGUGCAAGCGUUGUCCGGAAUUAUUGGGCGUAAAGAGCUCGUAGGCGGCUAGUCGCGUCGGCUGUGAAAACCUGGGGCUCAACCCCGGGCCUGCAGACGAUACGGGCUAGCUAGAAUUCGGUAGGGGAGACUGGAAUUCCUGGUGUAGCGGUGAAAUGCGCAGAUAUCAGGAGGAACACCGGUGGCGAAGGCGGGUCUCUGGGACGGUACUGACGCUGAGACGCGAAAGCGUGGGGAGCAAACAGG